rnacentral:lncRNA from 1 species
CACAGUCCUUCUGACACCUAGUCACACUCAGUCACACUCACACAUGGUCCCACACAAUCACACUCACACUAGUCAUACUCUAUUCUACUACCUCUCAGAGAAUUCCACUCUAUUCUACUCUCUCGGUGUCAUUUGUCCCCUCAGGAGGAUGCAGCAUUCAAGGUUCUAUCUUGGAAGCAGAGACUGUGCCCUCACCAGAUGCUGAACCUGCUGAGCACCCUGAUCUUCCACUUCACCUUCAUCAGAACUACUGCUGUGAUUGCACCUGCCAUCUUAUGCAGAAAUGACCUGAAGACAGACUGAAACAACGUGUUCUACAGCCUGAAAAUAUCUACCUUGACUUACAGUUUUAUUAAUGCUGGUGUGAUCAGACUGGACAAAAAUUAGCAUAUGUUAUUAACUGAUCUAAUUCAAGUGCCAAUUCUUAAUAGAAACACAAAACAAUAAAAGCAAUUCAGAAAAUAUUUACUAUUUGAUUUCUUCAAGCUCCAAACAGGCUUGUGCUUAGCUGUAGAAACUUGAAUAUAUACAAAUCUACAUGGAUAGAAUUCUUAGUCUUCUUUGGGCCAGGUGUGUUAGCCCCUUGGGAAAGGAUAAAGUUUUGGAAUAUAUUUUUAUUCAUGAAC